rnacentral:lncRNA from 1 species
UUGUAACAAUAUUAUUCAACUCUAUGCACUAUCAGUGUAUGUGUAAACCUUGCUCAACCCACAAUAGAGAUAAAAUGCAUUACAAAUAAAUAAUUCAUUAGAUUACAUUGCAUGAUGCUAUUUACUCAUCCAUCUGGUAACAACAGCGUGGUGAUUUGUCACAUUCACCUACGUCACAAUUACGUCAACGUGAUUUUAUCAAAUAAGAUUCUACAAACCGAUAACAUUUUGUAGAAAUAACAGCUUAUGUGGUGAUACAUGAUUUUUUGAGGCGACAUAAUUAGGCAGACAACGGAUUUGCAAGCGGCAAGCCGUGAUCCAGCCAUAAAGCUAUCGUAUCACAACCUGAAUCAAGCAGCCAUAAAAUAUGUAGGACUGGCUAUUAACUUGUUCAAAGCACGAGCCCUAACGGAACUAGCUGCAGUCCUACAUUAUUUCAGUCCUCCAGGUUGCAAGUUUGCAAAAGCAUCAUAAUUAACAUGAUCUAUGAACAUAUAGGCAAACGUCAUCUUGAUCUAUGAACAUAUAGGCAAACCUCCACUAGCUCCCAUGUCCAACCCCGCUCCUUCCUGGUUCAAUCAAGAAGCAAAAUGUUGUUUAUACAUAAGAGGCACAACAAAAAUCGUAUAAAGACACGCGAAAAUGUGAAUAAGAUCACAACAAAGUCAAGGCAUAACAAGCUAAUAACUGAAUUACACUGAAACUGGUCACUUGCAACAUAUAAAAAAACAGUGGCUAACCCAAAUAAAAGGAGUACAGUAUAUUUGUCUAGAUCUCUAUAAUCUGAAAUCUUGCAAAAUAUCAGAAAGCAGUACUGCAGGAUGUGAGAAGCUUCCUGAAAAUCUGUUAGCUGCAAAUAAGCGCUAUACCAAGCAAAUAAUUAUGGGAUUAACUCCUGAAAAUUAAGCCUAUAUGACAUUCAUUUGACAGUUUUCUUUUUCCUCAACAUGCGACCAUUUCUCCCAUGUUCUUUUACUCUGGUGUUGGCUAGUAUUCAAAAUAGCAAGCCACUCCCAAUAUGUUUUAGGGGAUCUUGUAAAUGAAGAAAGUAAAGUGGGAAAGACAAGCAAUAAGAACAAUUCAAAUUUUUUUUUUUUGAAAAUCUCACUAUAUAUUCCAAAGGAAAUUAAAGUACAUACAUAAUAAGCAUGAAAAAAAUUUCUAUCUUAGGUUACGUUAAAUCAAAUUAAUGGCAUAAUUUGAUUCCACCGUAUUUUGAAAAGGAAAAACUUUUAAGUCGCUCAAAUUCCUCAGCCAAUAUCUACCUUUUCUGUUAAAUUGAGACAAGAAAGAUAUUGCUGGCAGGACCAGGGCGGACAAAUUAAGACCUGAAAUGGGCACAGAAGCAACUCAAAUCAAUCUGCUAUACUGUGCUACAGAACAUUACCCCACACACCCCAAAUAAGAAAAACGAAAACCGAAAAGAUAAGAGGACGAGGAGGCGUGGUGAGGUGGGGAAGAAAACAGGUAUAUGAAUGCAAAAACUUUUACUAAAUCAAAAAGAGGAGAGCUAAAAUGAAAGAAAGAGUUGAAAUCACGUAAAAUCACUUGAUUUCAACAAUUGCCUAGUCAAGACAUGGUUUGAAGCAUGAACUCACAAUAUGACCGCAAAAGCAAAAUUAAACCAAAACAUAAAAGAACAAAGAUACUAUAUAUUACCUUUCAAUUUCCACAGAGGCCAACUCUUAUGGAAAAGGUCCCCAAGAAAAUGACACUUAACCAUAGGGAUCCUUGUACUCCUUUGGGACUUAUUUUUAUCCCAUCUUCCCAUUUCCAAGAUCAGUAAUGAAUUUUGACAAGUUUCUGAAGUUCUAACUUAGGCUAAAGGUGGUAAGCCAGAUGAAGUUUAUGGCUUGUUAAGAUGUGUUAUCUCAUCUGUGUUUGGCAAUCCACUUUAUAUAGAGUAGAAUAGCAAGAAUGGAUAAGCACAAGAGCUUAAGCAAAAGAAGAUACGACAGUACACGUCAAUUACCAUUGAAAAACUAAAAUUUUCAAAUUUAGAAGCUUUGCAUGUGCAAGACGUGUAAACCAUGCUAAAAAGUUGAAGCCACCGGUAAGUUACACGUGAAACCAUUAUAAACUACACAUACACUCAACUUUAUCAUAAGAAGGCAAAUAUUCAAUACGUUGAGUUAAUUUCACUCAUUGUAACACUUAUACUGUUAAAGCACAAGAUCAAAAAACAAGAUAAGAACAUAAUGCUUACCAAUGAAAAAUCCAAAAAAAAAAUAAUAAUAAUAAUAAAAUCAAGGCUUAUGCAUGCACUAAACAUGUAAAAUAUCAGAAAAAUUAAAACCAAUAUGAAUUAUAUGAGCAAUUAUCUGCUGUAUAAGAAGAAUGGAACAUCCCACUAAGUUUACGUAAACGCUGAUUACACUAACCAAAUAAAAAUGAAAGAGAUGUAAAUGAAAAUAGAUGACAUAUUAUAUGGAAAGAGUAUAUUUAAGGAAAAUGCAUGCACAAGAUAUUAUCCAAUAACUUACUUUCAAACGCCGAUUCACUACAAACAACUCCAUAGUUGGAAAAUGUCAAUCAAAAAAUAAAAUGAUUUUCACAACUUUUCCUGUGCACCCAUGUUGUUUUAUCUCAAGAAUCUUAGUAAUGUCAAAUAUAUGUAUAAUUACAUUUGAAUGAAUAGCAAUUAGCACUAGCAUGCAUAUCGUGAAAGAUAGGACUCAAAGCCAACAAAACUUGCAUAAUUUUGCAAAUUGAGAUUCGUACUUCACCCCUUCCUCCUCCACAAGUAACUACAUUAUGUGGCAUAUUCAACUUAAGAAUGAUCUUUGUCUGUAACCUGCCUUAUUUCAACACCAAUAAUAACCGUGCGUUCAAGUUUCAUUCAAAAUUUCACAUUAACAUAACAACAAAAUCUCAUAGUCCUCAAAACGGCACACAAGCUACAGAGUAAGUACUCAACCCCUUAUCUGAUGUACAUAGCUUCAUCAUCAGCCAAGCUCAAGUUCACUACAGUGAAGCUCAUUUAAUCAACUUCAAGAGACCAAUAGCGUUGGUUUUGUUAUUGAAUACUCCACUAAGAUAGUCUUGUAAGCACAACACAAGAGCUAACUCAACCUUAGAAUCCCGGAAAUUAUUUAUAUUCUUCGAAUUCCAUUAGUUUCUUUGCCAAAUUGUUGCUAAAUUUGUAGCUUAAAGUUGACAGAAUUAGAGUAAUAAAUUGUGUUAGUUUUGAUGUUGUCAUUAGGUAUACCGAGAAAAUAUGUACAGGUGAUGCCUAAUCCGGUAUAUAAAAUUAAAGCACGUAAGAUUGAAUCGAGUAUGAUUUUAACAAUUUUAUCAACCGAAUCGCUAUAAAAAUCAUUAACACUAAAAUCCAGAAAAUGAAGGCACAAGAAAGAUAAAACGUCGCCGUAAAAUUAGUAGUAUGAAAACUGUGAUGUAUUUUUAAGCUUACCGGUCCGCAGAUCGCAGAUUUUUAGGCUUAAAAUGAAGCAUCCAUUCCAAUGCUGACUGCUGAGUUUGAACAGUGAUCGAUGAUUCAGUUGUUUUAAUAUUUCAGCUACGAUAAGAGAAGUUUUUAAAUCCCUCUAAAUUUCGUAUAAAUCCUCCUCUUUAAGUGAAAUUACCUAAAUAACCAUAGAUAAAUUCUUU